rnacentral:rRNA from 1 species
GUGUUACUGCGAAGGGGGGACGGAGAAGGCUAUGUUGGCCGGGCGACGGUUGUCCCGGUUUAAGCGUGUAGGCUGGUUUUCCAGGCAAAUCCGGAAAACUAAGGCUGAGGCGUGAUGACGAGGCACUACGGUGCUGAAGCAACAAAUGCCCUGCUUCCAGGAAAAGCCUCUAAGCAUCAGGUAACAUCAAAUCGUACCCCAAACCGACACAGGUGGUCAGGUAGAGAAUACCAAGGCGCUUGAGAGAACUCGGGUGAAGGAACUAGGCAAAAUGGUGCCGUAACUUCGGGAGAAGGCACGCUGAUAUGUAGGUGAAGUCCCUCGCGGAUGGAGCUGAAAUCAGUCGAAGAUACCAGCUGGCUGCAACUGUUUAUUAAAAACACAGCACUGUGCAAACACGAAAGUGGACGUAUACGGUGUGACGCCUGCCCGGUGCCGGAAGGUUAAUUGAUGGGGUUAGCGCAAGCGAAGCUCUUGAUCGAAGCCCCGGUAAACGGCGGCCGUAACUAUAACGGUCCUAAGGUAGCGAAAUUCCUUGUCGGGUAAGUUCCGACCUGCACGAAUGGCGUAAUGAUGGCCAGGCUGUCUCCACCCGAGACUCAGUGAAAUUGAACUCGCUGUGAAGAUGCAGUGUACCCGCGGCAAGACGGAAAGACCCCGUGAACCUUUACUAUAGCUUGACACUGAACAUUGAGCCUUGAUGUGUAGGAUAGGUGGGAGGCUUUGAAGUGUGGACGCCAGUCUGCAUGGAGCCGACCUUGAAAUACCACCCUUUAAUGUUUGAUGUUCUAACGUUGACCCGUAAUCCGGGUUGCGGACAGUGUCUGGUGGGUAGUUUGACUGGGGCGGUCUCCUCCUAAAGAGUAACGGAGGAGCACGAAGGUUGGCUAAUCCUGGUCGGACAUCAGGAGGUUAGUGCAAUGGCAUAAGCCAGCUUGACUGCGAGCGUGACGGCGCGAGCAGGUGCGAAAGCAGGUCAUAGUGAUCCGGUGGUUCUGAAUGGAAGGGCCAUCGCUCAACGGAUAAAAGGUACUCCGGGGAUAACAGGCUGAUACCGCCCAAGAGUUCAUAUCGACGGCGGUGUUUGGCACCUCGAUGUCGGCUCAUCACAUCCUGGGGCUGAAGUAGGUCCCAAGGGUAUGGCUGUUCGCCAUUUAAAGUGGUACGCGAGCUGGGUUUAGAACGUCGUGAGACAGUUCGGUCCCUAUCUGCCGUGGGCGCUGGAGAACUGAGGGGGGCUGCUCCUAGUACGAGAGGACCGGAGUGGACGCAUCACUGGUGUUCGGGUUGUCAUGCCAAUGGCACUGCCCGGUAGCUAAAUGCGGAAGAGAUAAGUGCUGAAAGCAUCUAAGCACGAAACUUGCCCCGAGAUGAGUUCUCCCUGACUCCUUGAGAGUCCUGAAGGAACGUUGAAGACGACGACGUUGAUAGGCCGG